rnacentral:rRNA from 1 species
CAACCCAGCCCAAAGUUAAGGUCCCAAAAUGCCGAUUAAGUGUUAAGCUAAAGGGAGUCCAUGGUCUAAGACAAUUGGAAGGUGGGCUUAGAAGCAGCCACCCUUUAAAGAGUUCGUAACAGAUCACCAGUCAAGAUUGUGGGCCCCGAAAAUGGACGGGGCUAAAUCGGCUACCGAUACUUUGGAACUCCUACGGGAGAUUUGGUAGGGAGGUGUCGUGCGUGGGCAGAAGCAGGGCCUUAAGGUCCUGUGGACCGCGUUCGAAUAAGGAUCCUGGUGGUAGUAGCAGCAUAAGAAUGGUGAGAAUCCAUUCCGCCGAAAGGGCUAGGGUUCCUCGACAAUGUUUAUCAGUCGAGGGUUAGUCGGUCCUAAGGAUGUUCUUAACCGAGACAUUCGAAAGGGAAGCAGGUUAAUAUUCCUGCACUGACAUUUACUCUGUUCUAUGUUCGACGCAUCGUGGUAGGGCGUGUAGGUGUGCCAAACUAUUCAAGCGUAUAAGCUUUUGGAGAACCGUAAUGGUGAGAAGGAAGUGAAAUCGUUAUGAGGUGAACUUGGUGUUUACUACGUCUGAUCUGCGGUGCCAGUGAAAAUUUCAUAGAAGUCAUAUAUGUUAUCCGUACCGAGAACUGACACAGGUGUCCCUGGGUUAGUAGCCUAAGGCGUCUGGAGUAAUGGAGGCGAGGGAACUCGGCAAAUUAGCCCUGUACCUUCGGUAGAAGGGGUGCCAAAUAUGAAGAUAUUUGGUCGCAGUGACUAGGGAGCUCCGACUGUUUAAUAAAAACAUAGGUGACUGCCAGUCCGAAAGGAUGAGUACAGUCGCUGAAUCCUGCUCAGUGCCGGUAUCUGAAACUCUGGUUCAACAGAGCGAAGGACCGGUAAACAGCGGGGGUAACUAUGACCCUCUUAAGGUAGCGUAAUACCUUGCCGCUUAAUUGGCGGCUUGCACGAAUGGCCCAACGAGAGCUCUACUGUCCCCGCCCGGAGCCCGAUGAAAUUGACUUACUGGCGCACAGUCCAGUACGUCCCAGCCGCAAGCGAAGACCCCGUGGAGCUUUACUGCAACCUGCCGUUGUGGCACGAGUUGUUAUGUGUAGAGUAGCCGGGAGACAUUACACAGGUGCGAGCGCUAGCUCGUCGCCGAGUCACUGAUGAAACACCGUCCUUUUCGAUUCGUCCCACUCACCUCUUCGGAGGAACCCCGGUAGGCGGGCAGUUUGGGUGGGGCGCCACUCCCUCGAAAAUUUAACAAGGGAGCCCAAAGGUCAGCUUAGGUAGGUCAGGAAUCUACCGUUAAGUGCAAGGGCAAAAGCUGGCUUGACGUGGUUUGGCAACACAACAAACCACGAUGCGAAAGCAGGGCCUAGCGAACCAACCAGCGCCGUUAGUAGGUGCGGUUGAUAACAGAAAAGUUACCCCGGGGAUAACUGAGUUGUCUGGAGCAAGAGCCCACAUCGACCUCCAGGCUUGCUACUUCGAUGUCGUCUCUUCCUAUCCUGGGUGUGCAGAAGCACCCAAGGGUGGGGUUGUUCGCCCAUUAAAAGGGAUCGUGAGAUGGGUUUAGACCGUCGUGAGACAGGUUUGUUGCUAUGUGCUGGGACUGUCCAAUACCUGAGGGGAAGGAUCCUCUAGUACGAGAGGAACGAGGGUUCGCAGCCACUAGUUUACCAGUUGUCUGACAAGGCACCGCUGGGCAGCCACGCUGUAAGGGAUAAGAGCUGAAAGCAUCUAAGCUCGAAACCCGCCUCAAAACGAGGUAUUAUGACACUUAUAGAAGAUAAGUUAGAUAGGACCGGGGUGUAAGCACCGAGAGUAUCAGUGUUACUGGAAACCACUACUUCGGUAGAGGUGAAAGGUGACACUUCGAGGUGUUCAGCCCGUCGGUUACUAAUAGUCACAACUGCUACUUUA